rfam:Citrus sinensis cultivar Ridge Pineapple sweet orange scaffold01449_contig_6, whole genome shotgun sequence.
GACUCUCGGCAACGGAUAUCUCAGCUCUCGCAUCGAUGAAGAACGUAGCGAAAUGCGAUACUUGGUGUGAAUUGCAGAAUCCCGUGAACCAUCGAGUCUUUGAACGCAAGUUGUGCCCCAAGCCAUUAGGCCGAGGGCACGUCUGCCUGGGUGUCA